AAUAUUGGACAAUGGGGGAAACCCUGAUCUAGCCAUGCCGCUAGUGUGAAGAAGGUCUUCGGAAUGUAAAGUACUUUAAGUUGGGAGGAAGGGUUGUUGGUUAACAUCCAGUAAUUUUUCCUUUACCGACAGAAUAAGCAUCGGCUAACUCUGUGCCACCAGCCGCGGUAAAACAUAGGGUGCAAGCGUUAAUCGGAAUUACUGGGCGUAAAGCGCGCGUAGGUGGUUCAGUAAGAUGGGUGUGAAAUCCCCGGGCUUAACCUGGGAACUGCUUUCAUAACUGCUGAGCUAGAGUACGGUAGAGGGUAGUGGAAUUUCCUGUGUAGCGGUGAAAUGCGUAGAUAUAGGAAGGAACACCAGUGGCGAAGGCGACUACCUGGACUGAUACUGACACUGAGGUGCGAAAGCGUGGGGAGCAAAC
rnacentral:rRNA from 1 species